rnacentral:tRNA from 1 species
GGCGUGGCUUAGCGGUAAGAGCCCGGGUUUGGGAAUCGCACGUCGCGGGUUCUAAUCCCGCCUCCGCCA